AGUGAACGCUGGCGGUAGACCUAACACAUGCAAGUCGAACGGCAGCACAGUAAGAGCUUGCUCUUACGGGUGGCGAGUGGCGGACGGGUGAGGAAUACAUCGGAAUCUACUUUUUCGUGGGGGAUAACGUAGGGAAACUUACGCUAAUACCGCAUACGACCUACGGGUGAAAGCAGGGGAUCUUCGGACCUUGCGCGAUUGAAUGAGCCGAUGUCGGAUUAGCUAGUUGGCGGGGUAAAGGCCCACCAAGGCGACGAUCCGUAGCUGGUCUGAGAGGAUGAUCAGCCACACUGGAACUGAGACACGGUCCAGGCUCCUACGGGAGGCAGCAGUGGGGAAUAUUGGAAAAUGGGCGCAAGCCUGAUCCAGCCAUACCGCGUGGGUGAAGAAGGCCUUCGGGUUGUAAAGCCCUUUUGUUGGGAAAGAAAAGCAGCAGGUUAAUACCCCGCUGUUCUGACGGUACCCAAAGAAUAAGCACCGGCUAACUUCGUG
rnacentral:rRNA from 1 species